rnacentral:misc_RNA from 1 species
AAAUAAUCCCCACGAAUUAUACACGAUGUCGGUUCGCACAUGGUUUUUACUCUGCGAGUGAAAACGAGACUGCAGUGGCAGUGGAGUCCCUAUAAAUAGUGGCAAGAGUGAAUGGCGCCGGGAUUCGGAAUUCAGAAUGGCAAAAGAUGAUGCAGGGAAGUUGACAAGAGAAGAUUUUGACGCCGGACCAAGAAGCUGGGAUGAAAUAGAGCCAGGAGUCAUAUUGGGAAAUCUUACAGCAGCGACGGAUGUCGACUGGUUGAGAGAGGCGAAAAUAACUCACAUCUUGACAUUGGACUCGUGUCCGCUGCCUAGAAAAAUACAACUUCUACCUGACAUAACAUUCAAAUAUAUUCAAGUGACUGAUUUACCCAGAGAAGACUUGCUAACAUAUUUCGAAGAGACUUACCAAUUUAUUAAACAUGCUCAAGACGACGGUCACAAGACUUUGGUACAUUGUUACUUCGGGGUCUCCCGGUCCGCUGCAGUGGUUAUAGCUUUUAUUAUGAAAAAAUAUAACAUGAGUUUUACCGAGGCUUUUGACCUCGUCAAAUCAAAGAGAAGAUUCGUAGGACCUAAUCCUGGAUUCGUGGCUCAAUUGAAGUUGUACCAGGACAUGGGAUUCAGCAUAGACAAUACAAAUGUACAGUUCAAAAUGUAUCGCCUUCAAUUAGCGGCUGAUAAAGUGAGAAAGGCAAAGAUAUUACCACAGACUUGUAUAGACUUGAUAAAGCCAGACCCGGCUUUAGUUACAAUACGACCUGAGCCGACGGUGUAUCGGUGCAAGCGUUGCCGAAGAAUCGUAGCUUCUGCCAGCAAUAUAUUACCUCACACACCGAGAGAAAAACAAAUUUGGCGUCAUGUAAGCUCGAAACGUUAUGAUAAGGGUUUGAAAGUGGCAAAGACUUCGAAAAAACCUGUGGAAGAAGAUGAGAACAAUGAGCUGUGUGACUCUGAAUUUUGUUCGAAAACUUAUUUUAUAGAACCAUUGGCCUGGAUGCCUGAUAUAGUACACAAUGUUGAAGGUAAAUUGAACUGUCCAAAAUGUGCUACCAAGCUUGGAUCUUUCAGCUGGAUCGCGGGAUCCCAAUGUCCAUGUGGUAGCAAGAUAGCUCCAGCCUUUUAUCUGGUUCCCUCUAAAGUUGACUGGAGUAACGUCGUUCAAAAUGUACAAGUGACUGUUUAGAAAUUAAUCAACAUCCAAGCAGCUUCGAUAAAUGGAUAUGCUGCUUUACAUGUUGAAUGUAUAAUUGAAUUCUCAAUACCCUUAGAACCGCUAGAUAAUUCGGAUUCAAAUGUUUAUGAGCCACGUUGGAACAGUGUGUGAAAAUAAGUUUAUGCAGACCUAUACGACGUAAGGCAAGAAGGUAUCAUGCUGGUUGUGGCGGUGUCUUUCUCUGUACAUCGUCAAGCCGAGUUUUUCAAGUUAUACUUCCACUUAUUGACUGACAAAAUGAUGGAAGGGCAUGGCCUUGAUCGUGAAAAUAAAAUAUGGCACUCAUUCCCUUCGGGCUCUAAGCAAAUGAUAUUAUAUAUAUUAAAAUGGUGUGCCAAUUAUAAGUAUAAUAU